rnacentral:tRNA from 1 species
GGGGCCAUAGCUCAGUUGGUAGAGCGCUGCCUUUGCAAGGCAGAUGUCAGGAGUUCGAAUCUCCUUGGCUCCA